rnacentral:rRNA from 1 species
CGUCAAAUCAUCAUGCCCUAUAUGUCCUGGGCAACACACGUACUACAAUGGCUACAACAGAAAGAAACGAAUCCGCGAGGAAGAGUGAACCUAGAAAAAGUAGUCUCAGUUCGGAUUGAAGGCUGAAAUUCGCCUUCAUGAAGUCGGAAUUGCUAGUAAUUGCAGGUCAGCAUACUGCAGUGAAUACGUUCCCGGCUCUU